rnacentral:misc_RNA from 1 species
AACUUUUAACAAUGGAUCUCUUGGCUCUCGCAUCGAUGAAGAACGCAGCGAAAUGCGAUUCGUAAUGUGAAUUGCAGAAUUCAGUGAAUCAUCGAAUCUUUGAACGCACAUUGCACUCUCUGGUAUUCCGGAGAGUAUGCUUGUUUGAGUAUCAGUAAACACCUCAAAUCUCGACAUUCGUGUUGAGAAUUGGACUUGAGCAAUCCCAACUCUUUGCAAAAAGGGGCGGGUUGCUUGAAAUGCAGGUGCAGCUGGACAUUCUUCUGAGCUAAAAGCAUAUUUAUUUAGUCCCGUCAAACGGAUUAUUACUUUUGCUCUAGCUAAUAUAAAGGAAGGGUGUUCUCUAUGCUGACUGAUGCAGGAUUACCAAGAUUUACCUAGUAAAACUUGUAAACUCGAUCUCAAAUCAAGUAAGACUACCCGCUGAACUUAAGCAUAUCAAUAAGCGGAGGCU